rnacentral:rRNA from 1 species
GACAGAGGGUGCAAACGUUGUUCGGAAUUACUGGGCGUAAAGCGAGUGUAGGCGGUCUUAUAAGUCGGGUGUGAAAGCCCCGGGCUCAACCCGGGAAGUGCACUCGAAACUGUGAGGCUAGAGUAUCGGAGAGGUUGGUGGAAUUCCCGGUGUAGAGGUGAAAUUCGUAGAUAUCGAGAGGAACACCGGUGGCGAAGGCGGCCAACUGGACGAAUACUGACGCUGAGACUCGAAAGCGUGGGGAGCAAACAGG